UACGUAGGGGGCAAGCGUUGUCCGGAUUUAUUGGGCGUAAAGAGCGUGUAGGCGGCCGUACAGGUCAGCUGUGAAAACUCGAGGCUCAACCUCGAGACGUCGGUUGAAACCGUACGGCUAGAGUCCGGAAGAGGAGAGUGGAAUUCCCGAUGUAGCGGUGAAAUGCGCAGAUAUCGGGAAGAACACCCGUGGCGAAGGCGGCUCUCUGGGACGGUACUGACGCUGAGACGCGAAAGCGUGGGGAGCGAACAGG
rnacentral:rRNA from 1 species